rnacentral:rRNA from 1 species
CCGGCGACCGGCGCACGGGUGAGUAACGCGUAUGCAACUUACCUAUCAGAGGGGGAUAACCCGGCGAAAGUCGGACUAAUACCGCAUGAAGCAGGGGCCCCGCAUGGGGAUAUUUGCUAAAGAUUCAUCGCUGAUAGAUAGGCAUGCGUUCCAUUAGGCAGUUGGCGGGGUAACGGCCCACCAAACCGACGAUGGAUAGGGGUUCUGAGAGGAAGGUCCCCCACAUUGGUACUGAGACACGGACCAAACUCCUACGGGAGGCAGCAG